CCCUGGCUUCACUUAAAAUUACCUGCCUUUUAAAAUUCUGACUGGCUACAUGAUGAAUAAAAUCAAAUCACCAUCUUUCGGCUGAGCUCGUG
rnacentral:snoRNA from 1 species